rnacentral:rRNA from 1 species
UACGUAGGGGGCAAGCGUUGUCCGGAUUUAUUGGGCGUAAAGAGCGUGUAGGCGGCUUUACAGGUCCGUUGUGAAAACUCGAGGCUCAACCUCGAGACGCCGGUGGAAACCGUAAAGCUAGAGUCCGGAAGAGGAGAGUGGAAUUCCUGGUGUAGCGGUGAAAUGUGCAGAUAUCAGGAAGAACACCGGUGGCGAAGGCGGUGAUCUGGGCCGGCACUGACGCUGAGGAGCGAAAGCGUGGGGAGCAAACAGG